rnacentral:rRNA from 1 species
GAUGAACGCUGGCGGCGUGCCUAAUACAUGCAAGUCGAGCGAACGGACGAGAAGCUUGCUUUUCUGAUGUUAGCGGCGGACGGGUGAGUAACACGUGGAUAACCUACCUAUAAGACUGGGAUAACUUCGGGAAACCGGAGCUAAUACCGGAUAAUAUUUUGAACCGCAUGGUUCAAAAGUGAAAGACGGUCUUGCUGUCACUUAUAGAUGGAUCCGCGCUGCAUUAGCUAGUUGGUAAGGUAACGGCUUACCAAGGCAACGAUGCAUAGCCGACCUGAGAGGGUGAUCGGCCACACUGGAACUGAGACACGGUCCAGACUCCUACGGGAGGCAGCAGUAGGGAAUCUUCCGCAAUGGGCGAAAGCCUGACGGAGCAACGCCGCGUGAGUGAUGAAGGUCUUCGGAUCGUAAAACUCUGUUAUUAGGGAAGAACAUAUGUGUAAGUAACUGUGCACAUCUUGACGGUACCUAAUCAGAAAGCCACGGCUAACUACGUGCCAGCAGCCGCGGUAAUACGUAGGUGGCAAGCGUUAUCCGGAAUUAUUGGGCGUAAAGCGCGCGUAGGCGGUUUUUUAAGUCUGAUGUGAAAGCCCACGGCUCAACCGUGGAGGGUCAUUGGAAACUGGAAAACUUGAGUGCAGAAGAGGAAAGUGGAAUUCCAUGUGUAGCGGUGAAAUGCGCAGAGAUGUGGAGGAACACCAGUGGCGAAGGCGACUUUCUGGUCUGUAACUGACGCUGAUGCGCGAAAGCGUGGGGAUCAAACAGGAUUAGAUACCCUGGUAGUCCACGCCGUAAACGAUGAGUGCUAAGUGUUAGGGGGUUUCCGCCCCUUAGUGCUGCAGCUAACGCAUUAAGCACUCCGCCUGGGGAGUACGACCGCAAGGUUGAAACUCAAAGGAAUUGACGGGGGCCCGCACAAGCGGUGGAGCAUGUGGUUUAAUUCGAAGCAACGCGAAGAACCUUACCAAAUCUUGACAUCCUUUGACAACUCUAGAGAUAGAGCCUUCCCCUUCGGGGGACAAAGUGACAGGUGGUGCAUGGUUGUCGUCAGCUCGUGUCGUGAGAUGUUGGGUUAAGUCCCGCAACGAGCGCAACCCUUAAGCUUAGUUGCCAUCAUUAAGUUGGGCACUCUAAGUUGACUGCCGGUGACAAACCGGAGGAAGGUGGGGAUGACGUCAAAUCAUCAUGCCCCUUAUGAUUUGGGCUACACACGUGCUACAAUGGACAAUACAAAGGGCAGCGAAACCGCGAGGUCAAGCAAAUCCCAUAAAGUUGUUCUCAGUUCGGAUUGUAGUCUGCAACUCGACUACAUGAAGCUGGAAUCGCUAGUAAUCGUAGAUCAGCAUGCUACGGUGAAUACGUUCCCGGGUCU